rnacentral:rRNA from 1 species
UACGUAGGGUGCGAGCGUUAAUCGGAAUUACUGGGCGUAAAGCGUGCGCAGGCGGUGAUGUAAGACAGAUGUGAAAUCCCCGGGCUUAACCUGGGAACUGCAUUUGUGACAGCAUGGCUGGAGUGCGGCAGAGGGGGAUGGAAUUCCGCGUGUAGCAGUGAAAUGCGUAGAUAUGCGGAGGAACACCGAUGGCGAAGGCAAUCCCCUGGGCCUGCACUGACGCUCAUGCACGAAAGCGUGGGGAGCAAACAGG